rnacentral:tRNA from 1 species
CAGAAAGUAGUUUAUUUGUUUGAAAACAUCAGCUUUGGGAGCUGGAGAGGGGGGUUAAAGUCCCCUUUUUCUGAGA